rnacentral:rRNA from 1 species
GACGAACGCUGGCGGCGUGCUUAACACAUGCAAGUCGAGCGGUAAGGCCUCUUCGGGGAUACACGAGCGGCGAACGGGUGAGUAACACGUGGGUGACCUGCCCUCAGCUCUGGGAUAAGCCUGGGAAACUGGGUCUAAUACCGGAUAUGACCUUUCCUCGCAUGGGGUUUGGUGGAAAGUUUUUUCGGCUGGGGAUGGGCCCGCGGCCUAUCAGCUUGUUGGUGGGGUGAUGGCCUACCAAGGCGACGACGGGUAGCCGGCCUGAGAGGGCGACCGGCCACACUAGGACUGAGCCACGGCCCAGACUCCUCCGGGAGGCAGCAGUGGGGAAUAGUGCGCCAUGGGCGGAAGCCUGAAGCAGCGACGCCGCGUGGGGGAUGACGGCCUUCGGGUUGUAAUCCUCUUUCGACCCCGACGAAUUUGGACGGUAGGGGUAGAAGAAGCACCGGCUAACUACGUG